GGUUUCACCGCGUUAACCAGUAUGGUCUCGAUCUCCUGACCUCGUGAUCCGCCCGCCUCAGCCUCCCAAAGUGCUGGGAUUACAGGAGUGAGCCACCGCGCCCGGCCUUCUUAAAACAUUAAAGCCCAAAUUGAGAACUGAAAGAAACCCUCCCCGUAAUUUGGAAGAAGGCCCUGCCAACCAGGAUCCACCCCACUGGAUGAAAGAAUAGAGGAACAGCA